AACGAACGCUGGCGGCAUGCCUAACACAUGCAAGACGAACGAGACCUUCGGGUCUAUUGGCGCACGGGUGCGUAACGCGUGGGAACCUUCCCUUAGGUUCGGAAUAACUCCCCGAAAGGGGUUCUAAUACCGGAUAAUGUCUUCGGACCAAAGAUUUAUCGCCUUUGGAUGGGCCCGCGUUGGAUUAGCUAGUUGGUAGGGUAAAAGCCUACCAAGGCGACGAUCCAUAGCUGGUCUGAGAGGAUGAUCAGCCACACUGGGACUGAGACACGGCCCAGACUCCUACGGGAGGCAGCAGUGGGGAAUAUUGGACAAUGGGCGAAAGCCUGAUCCAGCAAUGCCGCGUGAGUGAUGAAGGCCUUAGGGUUGUAAAGCUCUUUUACCCGGGAUGAUAAUGACAGUACCGGGAGAAUAAGCUCCGGCUAACUCCGUG
rnacentral:rRNA from 1 species